rnacentral:rRNA from 1 species
GAUGAACGCUGGCGGCGUGCCUAAUACAUGCAAGUCGAGCGAACGGACGAGAAGCUUGCUUCUCUGAUGUUAGCGGCGGACGGGUGAGUAACACGUGGAUAACCUACCUAUAAGACUGGGAUAACUUCGGGAAACCGGAGCUAAUACCGGAUAAUAUUUUGAACCGCAUGGUUCAAUAGUGAAAGACGGUCUUGCUGUCACUUCUAGAUGGAUCCGCGCUGCAUUAGCUAGUUGGUAAGGUAACGGCUUACCAAGGCAACGAUGCAUAGCCGACCUGAGAGGGUGAUCGGCCACCCUGGAACUGAGACACGGUCCAGACUCCUACGGGAGGCAGCAGUAGGGAAUCUUCCGCAAUGGGCGAAAGCCUGACGGAGCAACGCCGCGUGAGUGAUGAAGGUCUUCGGAUCGUAAAACUCUGUUAUUAGGGAAGAACAUAUGUGUAAGUAACUGUGCACAUCUUGACGGUACCUAAUCAGAAAGCCACGGCUAACUACGUG